CUCUCAAGUCAGUCUCCUUGAUCCAGGGUUUGGGGCAAAAUUUAAGAGGUUGGGGGAACAGGCUGAUACGCGGAAGCGCCGGCCAGGCAGGUGUCCGUUGGAGGGCUCUAAACAUUUACGAGUGACCCACCCCUAGUCAUUGGAAUUCAACUGUGCUCCAUGCUGUAGGAGAGGCAGCAACACCAAAUCUUUAUCUCAAUGUCUGCACUACCUUCCAAACAUAGAGCCUGAGUCAAGAACCCAGUGAGAUCCUGAGGGGAAUGCCUACAGCACAGAGAUUAUUUUCCUCGUGCUACAUUUGUAGCUCUAGAAAAGAGGCUACAUCUCCAGAUGCCACCCCCAUCCAACCUUCUGGAGGCAGCCCCAGGAGACAGCAGUGGUUGUGCACCAGAGGGUGCAAUGCCUGGGACUACUGCAGCUGUCUUGUGACCAAGAGGAACACUAUCUUAAUGAUAAGCCAGUAUACUAAAGAUGGCAGAGCAAGAAAAUGGAAAGACUCCAGAUCUUUGAUGUCACUGAGCUGCUGAACUAACCGACCCCUGGAGCUGCUUUACCUCUGGACUUAUUAUAUCUUCAAAUUCUUCAAGUGAUUUUUUAACAGGAUAUUACCUUCACCCUGAGGAAGGUGGCAGAGGUGGAGGAUAAAAACACAGGCGAUGGAUUUCAGAGAGACUUUGUAGGUGCUUUCGUUUCCUCCUCCAGGAGGUAAAUGUAUUAUUAGAGUUCGGAAUAUCUUUCCCUGUACAGGUUCGCUCUAAAUCUCUUCGCAUUUUGUUAUGAAUGAGAAUGUGACCUUUCGUCUCCUAUGGAAAUCCAAGCUCUUGAAAGAAGAUUUCUGUGAAUGAGCUAAAAAAAGAAUCCAUUUUUGUCAGUAUAAAUAGCCAGAGGGCCUGGGACUAAUAAGACCACAUUUGAAAGUGCCAAUCUUAUGGUGAGCUUUUAAAAUUUUGAAACAAUUAAUGACAUUGAAUUUUUUUAACUAGUUUGUAUACUGCUGAGUCAUCCCCGCUCUGGAAGCUGAUUUCAUAUUUCAAAGCUCCGAUUUCUUUGCAGAGAGUAAUUAGCAAGUGAAGAAGCAAGCGGGUGUGCUUUCAUGGCUGAAUUGCUUCCACCUUAUGAGGCUGAGUCUCAGAAUUGGACACCACAAGCUUCGGGGAGUCAGAGACAAACCGCCCCGAUACAGCUCUCUCUUUAAUUAGCUCUGUGACAUGAGCAGGUUUCACGAAUGCUGACUCUGAGCAGGCACUGUGCUACACCCACCUACUCAUGGAUGGACAAGAGAGCAACACAACAAGCUUUCAUGGGCUGUAUUACAUCACAUUUGGAAGUAUUUAUAUUUCCAGUUGUGAUCUUUAAAAAAGAAUUGUCUAAGCUCAAAUACCCCAAAGCAUGAAGAGCCUUGCUUUGCACUUACUUAAAUUUUUGUGUUGGUCUUUUUUUCUUUUUUUUUUUUUGGUGAGGAAGAUUGGCUCUGAGCUAACACCUGUUACCAAUCUUCCUCUUUUUCCUUGAGGGAGAGUGGUCCUGAGCUAACGUUUGUGUCAGUCUUCCUCCCUUUUGUAUGUGGGACGCUGCCACAGCAUUUCUUGGUGAGAGGUGUAGGUCCAUCCCCAGGAUCCAAACCUACAAAUCUGGACCGCCAAAGUGGAGCACACCACACUUAACCACUACACCCCCAGGCCAGCCCAUGCACUUAUUUAAAUUUUUGAUGAAAUGUAUAAGCUAGAUAAUUUUGCUUUAUAUACAAAGUGCUAUAAUUGCAUUAAAACUACAUUCUGUUUUUCCUUAUUAGGUAGAAAGUUUUUCUUUGGAAAGAUUUAAAAUUUUUCAUAUAAAUACC
ensembl:lncRNA